rnacentral:pre_miRNA from 1 species
AUGUUGUUUGGUAGCCAAGGAUGACUUGCCCGAUCCAUAUUCUGAGAGGUUUCAUGGGUAUAUUAUUUAUAUAUGCAUGACGCUCUUGUGGCUACGGGCAGUCUCCUUGGCUAUCCUGACAAAUUA